GCCGGAGCUGUUCCAUUUCCGAUCUGUAAACCCCGCCAUUCGCAACUCUCCUCUACCGCCGGCGAGAAUUCACCGUCUUACCGAUGGAGAUAGAUAGCAAGGAAAGGCAUGAAAUCAAUUUGCAGCCUCCGAAAGAGAACAGUUUUUAUCUGCAGAAGUUUCGUCUCUACGAGACUCGCUCGAACUUUUACAUGAUAGGAUGGGA
rnacentral:misc_RNA from 1 species